GACGAACGCUGGCGGCGUGCUUAACACAUGCAAGUCGAACGGUGAAGCGCCUUCCUUUUUGGUGGGUGUGGAUGAGUGGCGAACGGGUGAGUAACACGUGAGUAACCUGCCCCCUUCUUCUGGAUAACCGCAUGAAAGUGUGGCUAAUACGGGAUAUUCUGGGUCUGUCGCAUGAUGGGUCUGGGAAAGAUAUUGUUUCGGUGGGGGAUGGGCUCGCGGCCUAUCAGCUUGUUGGUGGGGUGAUGGCCUACCAAGGCGGUGACGGGUAGCCGGCCUGAGAGGGUGGACGGUCACACUGGGACUGAGACACGGCCAAGACUCCGACGGGAGGCAGCAGUGGGGAAUAUUGCACAAUGGGCGCAAGGCUGAUGCAGCGACGCCGCGUGAGGGAUGGAGGCCUUCGGGUUGUGAACCUCUUUCGCCAGUGAAGCAGGCCUGCCUCGUUUGUGGGUGGGUUGACGGUAGCUGGAGAAGAAGCGCCGGCUAACUACGUG
rnacentral:rRNA from 1 species